CAGCAGCCGCGGGAAUACAGAGGGUGCAAUCGUUAAUCGGAAUUACUGUGCGUAAAGCGCGCGUAGGUGGUUUGUUAAGUUGGAUGUGAAAGCCCCGGGCUCAACCUGGGAACUGCAUCCAAAACUGGCAAGCUAGAGUACGGUAGAGGGUGGUGGAAUUUCCUGUGUAGCGGUGAAAUGCGUAGAUAUAGGAAUGAACACCAGUGGCGAAGGCGACCACCUGGACUGAUACUGACACUGAGGUGCGAAAGCGUGGGGAGCAAACAGGAUUAGAUACCCCGGUAGUCCCUGUCUCUUAUAC
rnacentral:rRNA from 1 species